ensembl:rRNA 5S_rRNA 5S ribosomal RNA
UUCUACGGCCAUACCACCCUGAACAUGCCCAGUCUCGUCUGAUCUCAGAAGCUAAGCAGGGUCGAGCCUGGUUGGUUCUUGGAUGGGAAACCAACAAAAAGACUACUGAAGGGA